GAUGAACGCUAGCGGCAGGCCUAACACAUGCAAGUCGAGGGGCAGCACGUCUUCGGAUGGUGGCGACCGGCGCACGGGUGCGUAACGCGUAUGCAACCUACCUCUUACAGUGGGAUAGGCCCAGAGAAAUUUGGAUUAAUACCGCAUAGUAUACAGAUUCAGCAUUGGGACUGUAUUAAACAUUUAUGGGUAAGAGAUGGGCAUGCGUUCUAUUAGUUAGUUGGAGUGGUAACGGCACCCCAAGACAGCGAUAGAUAGGGGCCCUGAGGGGGGGAUCCCCCGACACUGGUACUGAGACACGGACCAGACUCCUACGGAGGCAGCAGUGAGGAAUAUUGGACAAUGGCGAGAGCCUGAUCCAGCCAUGCCGCGUGCAGGAGAGGCCCUAUGGGUUGUAAACUG
rnacentral:rRNA from 1 species